UAAUAAUCUUCUUGUAACCACUGACAGGCCUUUUUGUGAAUGAUGAUGGAAAAAGCAAGAACCUUGUCCAGGUUCCUCUCCAGGGAGCAGGGGUGGGUUGUGAUUCUUGAUUUCAUUCCUUUAGAUAUGAAGAGUUUUCACACAGAGGCAGCACGAAUUUGUCUCUCUCCUAGAGGGUGGGGAGAGUUGCUGGGUGGAUAUAACUGCAUCACAGCCUUUCUGGGUAAACUGGCCACUCCCUACUGAUUUGUUAUCAUGCUAAAUGUGUCUCCUCCCUUCCUUUCUGGAGCUUUUGCAGCUGUUCCUGGAAGGAGACCCAGUUGAAAGGGGUUGUUAUGGACCAGGAACAGCUGGGAUCUUUAAUGAUCUGUGAGCAGCUUACAGCAAAGUUCCAACACCCUGAGUAUCAGUCCCCAAAUCCUUGGUCUUUGCAUUCCAACACAAAGUAAAAAGGAUUGAGCAGGGUUUUGGUUUUGGUUGCAAGUAACAGAAACCCAACGCUAAUUAAUAAACGGGAAAGUGUGUCAGUGGAAAUCUCCACAAGUCCGACGGAAAGAGAAAACUGCUUUCCCAAAGGGUGUAAGAGGAUGAAAGGCAUGUCAUCAGCUGAAUUGCAUCAGGUGUCCAUCUUGGAAUCAAUCACGGUGCCUCUUAUUAGCAAAGCCUGAGUCAUAGAGCUUUCUCCAGCUGGUAGAAAAAGGGGAAGUAUGAGACUUAAAGGUGGAGGUGGCCCCAUGGAAAAGACCUAAGGGUAGCCUGCGGGAACUGAGAGAAAACCCCAACUGGCAGCCAGCAAGAAAACAGGGACCUUAAUCUUACGACCACAAGGAACUGGACUCUGCUACCAGAAUGAGCUGCAAGGGAGAUUCUUCCUCAGAAGCUUCAGAUAAGAACUCCACCUGGCUGACCUUUGAUUUUGGUUUUGUGAGAACUUUGGCAGAUAACCCAGGUGAGUCUUCACAGUCUGAGUUAACAAGUUGGUAUUGUUUUAGGUUGCA
rnacentral:lncRNA from 1 species